GAGGGCAGCCUCAGGCCAACACCCAGAGAGGGACUGCAGCCCUCGGUCCUGCUGCUGGGGCGUGAGCUCUCGUCUGAGUCAGCCUGGAAGAGACCCCUCUCCAGAGAGGUUGUGAUGACUGCAGAUCUGGCUGUCAUCUGGACAGCAGCCUGAGCGACAGCCUGGGCCACAGGGCCCACGGAGUGGUGGCCAGGCUCCUGAGCCACAGACACGGUGAGUCCUGAAGGCUAAGGACUGAAUCCGGUCCCUCUCAAAUCUGCAUGUUGAAGGCCUACCCUGCACUGUGGUUAUAUUUGGAGAUGUAGCCUUUAGGGAGGUAAUUGAGAUUAAAACUGAGGUCCAAGGGGGAGCCUGAUCUGCUAGGACUGGUGCCCUUGCCAGAGGAGCGAGACGGACACCAGGGCUGCACGUGGAGAGAAAUGUGUAUGAGGACGGUGAGAAGGUGACCCACGGGAGAGACCGCGAGAGGAAGUGAACCUGCUGAUACCCUCAUCUCGGUUUUCUAGCUUCCAGAACCCUGAGAGAAUAAAUAAACUUCCAGUCCGUGGUGCCCUGUUAUGAUACCCUCAGCUGACUGAUACAAGCUGCUCAGUUUGGGGGUCAUUUGUUACACAGCAAAGGACGACAAAUACAACCAUCAGCCGACACUGCACUCCCAUUCCCUCUGGGCUGGGAGCCGGGUAGAACAAGACCAAAGCCCUGGCCCAUAAGAAUGGAUCUCAGUCCACACGGAAAGACAAACACAGAAGAUGAAGUAAAAGGCUAGGGUGGGAGAAGACCCCUCAGGACGAAGACACCGCUUGGGGAGACGUGGAUGCAGGAGAGACCACGACACAUCGUCCUGCCCGCUCUGUGCUCCCCCUGGGGACACAGGCUCGGCCUUCUCAGAUACAGCAUCCUCUCCACGUUGUAGCUGAUGCGUGGACGCCGAAAGAGGUUAUGUUGGCUGAGGUCCCGAAGCUCAUCCCGGAGUCGCCAGGAUUCACGGGCAGGUCUGCAAGGGGAGAAGAGAAGAGCUCCUUGGAGGGUGUCAGCUCCUCAGGGGUCAGGCAGAGGGAGAAGCCAGGAGGGACACAGAGACACCGUGGGAAUGAUAGGAGGAGAUUAAUAUUUCCCCAGAAUCAAAGAUAAGAGCUUUUCUCGGUUGGAAUCGUGUUCGAUGCCCAAGACAGCCGAGACCUCAGGACCUGGGGUGAACUGUGUCCUCCCCCCUCAAAAGACAGGAUGAAGCCCCCCGGCCCCAAGAGCAACCUCCAUUGGCAGCGGGGUCAUUGCUGAUGUGACUGGUUAAGGGGCAGGAGGAGAGUGAGCCCUGAUGAGCCCUGAAGGAGGCGCCUGUGCAGACGGACAAGGAGGAGCCCCUCGCAGACCCCAGCGGAGACCGAGGUCAGGAAGGGCGGGGCACAGGGCGGCUGGGGCUUCUGGAAGCUGAAAGCGGCAAGAGGUUCUCGGGCAGGCUUCAGAGGGAGCCCCGCCUUCCUGAAGCCUUGAUCUUGGACAGUAAGAGAAUAGACCUCUGCUGUUUCACCCCACUCCCCAGCCCCAAAUCCCCCAUCCUCACAGCAAGAAUCCCAGUGUCUUACUUAAAGAAGACAAGGCGUGAAAGCAUUCAAAUGAAGACCUUCGUUAACUUUUUGUACAUACUGCACUACGCUUCGUCUUUAAAGGUCAGACAGUUUGCUUCAGAAAACAAAGAGAGAUUGAGCCUUGCAACAGUUUCGUGGCCACCUUGGCCCAGUUUUCUCAUCGUUAAAACAUCGCCGGGACUCGACGGCUGGCCUUCACGCCCCCCACACAGCCCAGCCGCUCACACCCCAUCAUCCGUGUUUGAUUUUUACCCCAUCUGCAUCCAGCGAGGAUGUGAGGCCGUGGCAUCAAAACAGCAUCAGGUUUUACGCCUUCCUAGCCCGGGAAGCCUGCAAAGACGAGACAGUAAAAUAUGUGCUAAUAAAUGGUUCUGCGUCUACUGCCUGCUGCAAGGGUGAUCAAUUUUUGUGACUCGUGUAUGAAGAUGUAUCUCUCUAAUACCGGGGACUCGGCUUCUUUAUUUAUUUCAUCAAUUUCGUUCUUUUGUUUUCCCGGCGAUUUCUAGGAAUGAUGAACGGAUGGCGGUUUAGCACAAACUGUGAACCUGCGCCCCACCCCCACCCCCACCCCCCGCCGCCUCUUGGCUCCCCGGGUGCAGCUUAGAGAGUCAUGGAUGGUGGAGGGUGUGUGCUGGUUCUCUCCGCCGUCUGUCUCUCUGACUCCAGGCGGCACUCUGGUUCUCGACGGGCUGCAGGGGACACAUCAGUUUUUGGUGACUCGGGAGGAGAGCACCACUCAGGGCCAGCAGGUCUGCUCUCCAGCCCUGCUCUGUCAUUGAGCAAGACGGCGAAGCUGGGAAUUGAGAUGCUGCCCUGAGCAGGUGGGGCAUCCCCCACCUGAUUCUCUCCUUUCCAGCUCAUUCCUCAAAGGCACGUUCAAAUCCAUUGCCGCUUAUCACUUCAUAUACUUUUUGCUUCACUGUUCGACUAAUUAACCAAAUGAUAAGUUGAUGUGAUAUCUUAUAGUUUAUAAAUCACGUCACUUUGAAAUAACUAUCUUUUCUUUCUUUCUUUUUCUUUUUUUGGCCACCCCAUGGCCAGGGAUCCGAUCUGCACUGCAGGUGGGACCUACCCCACAGUGGCAACGGCAGAUCCUUCAACCGCUGUGCUGGGCCGGGCAGAGAACCUGUGUCCCGGCGCUGCAGAGACCCGAACGAUCCCAUUGCACCACAGCAGGAACGCCAACAGUAGGAAAACCACCCAAUUUCUCCCAGGUGGCCCCCUCAGGACCUGGAAAAGCUUUUCCCUAAGGGCUCACACCUUCUUUCCUCUGUUCCCCCGCCCCGUGACACAUGCACCUGCAGGCUGAUUCCUUUGCAUGCCCCUUGGGACCUAGCCUAAAUGCGGCCCAGGGACACUCGCUGGCCAACCCGUCAGGGUGGGGAGCGUCUGGGGGCCAGGAUGCAAAGAGGAGUCUCCCGUGCUUAUUUCCUGCAGGAGACAAGCUUGCUGUGUGUUAAGUGGGAAAUUCACCUCAGUGAUCUGUCUUUUCAUCCGCCAGAUGAUUAGCAACAGGCCCUAUGCUCUCAGAUGAAGGGCUCACGGGACCCUGGGAAGCUGCGUUUGUCUCCUUUGGAGAAAGAAGGGCUGAGGGUGGGACUUAGGUGGCAGAGGGUGUGGCCAUAACCUUUCCCCAGAUGGGAUGGGACGGGGGAACCAGAAAGGGAGGGGGCAGUCCAUGUCCUUUUCUUGGAUCAAAAUGGCAAAACAUGGGAUUUCAUUCUUCCCUCCCUUUUCUCCAAAAUCAACGGAUUUUACAGCCUAUUCUCAAUCGAUUCUACUAAACAGAAUGUGCAGAUUAAAAGUGAAAAAGGCAGAGAGCCGGUGACCCGGCUUCGGGUUGAGUCACCUUUGGUUUCUUCUUUCAAUCUGGAAGUCCUUUACCUCCCAGUAUUCAUCGUAAUGGCUGGUUUCAAAUACGUCUUUCUUUAGUCUCUCAAGGAAAGUGCUCAGCAUUUUUGGUCGUGAUUGGGUUGGGCAUCUUGUGGCCUCGGGACUCGUAUCCAGUUGGGGGUGGGGACAACCUGGGUGCCAGCCUGGCCUUGUAGCAGCAGCUCCAUCCUUACCACCUCGUGUGAGGUGUUGAUUUAAUGGGUCCAGGCAGAAAUCGGCCAGAUGAAUAAAAAAUUGAACCAGGAUCAGGGACAAGGCCAAGGAGAAGCAUCUGACAGCACCAGGGGGUCUUAUGAUCCACGAGGAACUUCAAAGCCAUCUGUCAUUACAGGGUAUCAAACUAAUUUUUUCUUUCGUGAACAGGUGUAUAUGUCCUGCAUAACUGGGAGAACUAAAUUUCACCUCUCGUGUUCCCUUUUCAUAGGUACAGCUAAGUAGAUAUUUCGACUGGAUAAGUUGUGGGCACGAGCGGGUAUGAAGAUUAUAAAUUAAUACCGUAAGGUCUGUACCUUAAGUAACAUCUUGCCUAUGGCCCUGGUGAUAGUUAUUUCUUACAGCCGUUCAGGUUAGAGCUUCAAAUAAAGGGGGGAAUUCGAAUGGAUCUGGGUCACGUGGAAUCUGUACAAAGCAAGAGCUAAAGCUUCUCCUGAAAGGAUACAGGAAUCCUGUGACCAGGUGGGGAGUUUGAGGUGGAGCA
rnacentral:lncRNA from 1 species